rnacentral:rRNA from 1 species
UACGUAGGGGGCAAGCGUUGUCCGGAUUUAUUGGGCGUAAAGAGCGUGUAGGCGGCCAGGUAGGUCUGCUGUGAAAACUCGAGGCUUAACCUCGAGAUGUCGGCGGAAACCAUCUGGCUAGAGUCCGGAAGAGGAGAGCGGAAUUCCUGGUGUAGCGGCGAAAUGCGUAGAGAUCGGGGGGGAACACCCGUGGCGAAGGCGGCCAGCUGGGCCGUCCCUGACACUGAGGCGCGAAGGCGUGGGGAGCGAACGGG